UUUUUUUGUAGGAAAUAUUAUAUAAUACAUCAUAUACAUAUUAUAUACAUCCAGGUGUGUGUGUGUGUGUGUGUGUGUGUGUGUGCACUAAAGAUGGCACUGAUCCCAUACUGGGUUGAUCACCUGAUACUAGUAAGAAAUGGAGAUCAGAUCAGAGAGAAAAUAAAGAAUGGAUUGGGUCUGAUCCUGUAGCAUAAAGAUAGAAACUCUAUUAAAUACUAACUAAAG